rnacentral:lncRNA from 1 species
UGAAUUAACAUAAAGAGAAGUGUUACACCAUAUGCAAGUUUUGGAGCAUUAGUCAUUCAUCCAAAGAUUGGAUGCUUUUGGUUCUAAAUGGUGUUACAAAAUCAUAUUUGUGCACACCAUUUGUCAACUCUAUUCCAUCUUAAUUUCUAUGAAAUAAAAGCCUAAGAACAACCUAGGAGAGUAAAGAAAUAAAACUGAGAAGAAAUGAUAGUGUACAAUGUGAAAA